CAACUGAAGAGUUUGAUCCUGGCUCAGAUUGAACGCUGGCGGCAUGGCUAAAACAUGCAAGUUGAACGAUCCCUUCGGGGAGAGUGGCGAAAGGGCGAGGAAUAUAAUCGAAUGUGUCCUAAGGUUGU
rnacentral:rRNA from 1 species